rnacentral:rRNA from 1 species
CAGCCGUAAACUAUGCGCGUUAGGUGUAUCGGUGACCACGAGUCACCGAGGUGCCGAAGGGAAACCGUGAAACGUGCCGCCUGGGAAGUACGGUCGCAAGGCUGAAACUUAAAGGAAUUGGCGGGGGAGCACCACAACAGGUGGAGCCUGCGGUUUAAUUGGACUCAACGCCGGGAAGCUCACCGGAUAGGACAGCAGAAUGAUUGCCGGGCUGAAGACCCUGCAUGACUAGCUGAGAGGAGGUGCAUGGCGUAGACGUCU